UGGGGAAUAUUGGACAAUGGGCGCAAGCCUGAUCCAGCCAUGCCGCGUGUGUGAAGAAGGCCUUCGGGUUGUAAAGCACUUUUGUCCGGAAAGAAAACCAUUCGAUUAAUACUCGGGUGGAAUGACGGUACCGGAAGAAUAAGCACCGGCUAACUUCGUGCCAGCAGCCGCGGUAAUACGAAGGGUGCAAGCGUUACUCGGAAUUACUGGGCGUAAAGCGUGCGUAGGUGGUUCGUUAAGUCUGAUGUGAAAGCCCUGGGCUCAACCUGGGAAUGGCAUUGGAUACUGGCGACCUAGAGUGCGGUAGAGGGUGGCGGAAUUCCCGGUGUAGCAGUGAAAUGCGUAGAUAUCGGGAGGAACAUCCGUGGCGAAGGCGGCCACCUGGACCAGCACUGACACUGAGGCACGAAAGCGUGGGGAGCAAA
rnacentral:rRNA from 1 species